AGAGUUUGAUCCUGGCUCAGAACGAACGCUGGCGGCGCGUCUUAAGCAUGCAAGUCGGACGGCAAGGGUAGCAAUACCCCUAGAGUGGCGGACUGGUGAGUAACGCGUGGGUGACCUACCCUUGAGAUGGGGAUAGCCAUUAGAAAUAGUGGAUAAUACCGAAUACGCUUGCUGUCACUGUGGUGAUGCAAGGAAAGGAGCUACGGCUCCACUCAAGGAUGGGCCCGCGUCCCAUUAGCUAGUUGGUGAGGUAACGGCCCACCAAGGCGACGAUGGGUAUCCGGCCUGAGAGGGUGUACGGACACAUUGGGACUGAGAUACGGCCCAAACUCCUACGGGAGGCAGCAGCUAAGAAUAUUCCGCAAUGGACGAAAGUCUGACGGAGCGACGCCGCGUGGAUGAAGAAGGCCGAAAGGUUGUAAAAUCCUUUUGCUGAUGAAGAAUAAGUGUGGUAGGGAAUGACCGCAUGAUGACAUUAGUCGGUGAAUAAGCCCCGGCUAACUACGUGCCAGCAGCCGCGGUAACACGUAGGGGGCAAGCGUUGUUCGGAAUUAUUGGGCGUAAAGGGCAUGUAGGCGGUUUUGUAAGCCUGGUGUGAAAUCCUGCAGCUUAACUGUAGAAUUGCAUUGGGUACUGCAAGACUUGAAUCACAGAGGGGAAACUAGAAUUCCAGGUGUAGGGGUGGAAUCUGUAGAUAUCUGGAAGAAUACCGGUGGCGAAGGCGGGUUUCUAGCUGAUGAUUGACGCUGAGGUGCGAAAGUGCGGGGAGCAAACAGGAUUAGAUACCCUGGUAGUCCGCACCGUAAACGAUGUACACUAGUGUCG
rnacentral:rRNA from 1 species